UCUCCGUAGGUGAACCUGCGGAGGGAUCAUUACAGAGUUCAUGCCCUACCGGGUAGAUCUCCCACCCUAUGUUAUUAUUACUUUGUUGCUUUGGCGGGCCGUUAGGCUCCGGCCCGACCACCGGCCCCGGCUGGUAAGCGCCCGCCAGAGGACCCAAAACCCUGAAUAUUAGUGUCGUCUGAGUACUAUAUAAUAGUUAAAACUUUCAACAACGGAUCUCUUGGUUCUG
rnacentral:misc_RNA from 1 species